GUCAGUGUGUUAAGGUGGGCUGAGUGUUUAGUGAGAGGAGACGACAGUAUCUCUGGUCUCUCAUAUCAUCUCUGUGCUUCCAGUCAGUGUGUUAAGGUGGGCUGAGUGUUUAGUGAGAGGAGACGACAGUAUCUCUGGUCUCUCAUAUCAUCUCUGUGCUUCCAGUCAGUGUGUUAAGGUGGGCUGAGUGUUUAGUGAGAGGAGACGACAGUAUCUCUGGUCUCUCAUAUCAUCUCUGUGCUUCCAGUCAGUGUGUUAAGGUGGGCUGAGUGUUUAGUGAGAGGAGACGACAGUAUCUCUGGUCUCUCAUAUCAUCUCUGUGCUUCCAGUCAGUGUGUUAAGGUGGGCUAAGUGUUUAGUGAGAGACAGUUCCUGUGUAAAUAACAUACAAGCUCCUGUGUUACUACACAGUGGGGAUGUACCCCUCAAAUGGCACCCUAUUCCCUAUAAUAGUGCACUACUUUUGACCAAAGCCACAUACAGUAGGGCACCAUAUAUACCUCCCUUCCUCUUCUCCCUCCCUCUCCUUCUUCUACUUUCUCCCUCUCUCUCCCCCUUCUCCCUCUCUCUCCCCCUUCUCCCUCUCUCUCCCUCCCUCUCCUUCUUCUACUUUCUCCCUCUCUCUCCCCCUUCUCCCUCUCUCUCCCUCUUCUCCCUCUCUCUCCCUCCCUCUCCUUCUUCUACUUUCUCCCUCUCUCUCCCCCUUCUCCCUCUCUCUCCCUCUUCUCCCUCUCUCUCCCUCCCUCUCCUUCUUCUACUUUCUCCCUCUCUCUCCCUCUUCUCCCUCUCUCUCCCUCCCUCUCCUUCUUCUACUUUCUCCCUCUCUCUCCCCCUUCUCCCUCUCUCUCCCUCUCUCUCCCUCUCUCUCCCUCCCUCUCCUUCUUCUACUCCCCCUUCCCCUUCUUCCCCCUUUCUUCCUCUCUUCCACUCCCCUCUCUCCCCCUGUCUCCCUCUCUCUCCC
rnacentral:lncRNA from 1 species